rnacentral:rRNA from 1 species
UACGAAGGGGGCUAGCGUUGUUCGGAAUUACUGGGCGUAAAGCGCGCGCAGGCGGUUCUUCAAGUCAGGCGUGAAAGCCCCGGGCUCAACCUGGGAACCGCGCUUGAGACUGGCACGCUCGAGUUCGGGAGAGGAUGGUGGAAUUCCCAGUGUAGAGGUGAAAUUCGUAGAUAUUGGGAAGAACACCGAUGGCGAAGGCAGCCAUCUGGACCGACACUGACGCUGAGGCGCGAAAGCGUGGGGAGCAAACAGG